CGGGGGUAGAGCACUGUUUCGGCUAGGGGGUCAUCCCGACUUACCAACCCGAUGCAAACUGCGAAUACCGGAGAAUGUUAUCACGGGAGACACACGGCGGGUGCUAACGUUCGUCGUGAAGAGGGAAACAACCCAGACCGCCGGCUAAGGUCCCAAAGUCAUAAUUAAGUGGGAAACGAAGUGGGAAGGCUCAGACAGCCAGGAUGUUGGCUUAGAAGCAGCCAUCAUUUAAAGAAAGCGUAAUAGCUCACUGGUCGAGUCGGCCUGCGCGGAAGAUGUAACGGGGCUAAAUUAUGCACCGAAGCCGCGGCAGCGAUAUGUAAAUAUUGUUGGGUAGGGGAGCGUUCUGUAAGCCUGUGAAGGUGGCCUGUGAGGGCUGCUGGAGGUAUCAGAAGUGCGAAUGCUGACAUAAGUAACGAUAAUGCGGGUGAAAAACCCGCACGCCGGAAGACCAAGGGUUCCUGUCCAACGUUAAUCGGGGCAGGGUGAGUCGACCCCUAAGGCGAGGCUGAAAAGCGUAGUCGAUGGGCAACGGGUUAAUAUUCCCGUACUGGUGGUAACUGCGAAGGGGGGACGGAGAAAGCUAAAUCAUCCGGGCGACGGUUGUCCCGGUUUAAGCGUGCAGGUGGACUGACCAGGCAAAUCCGGUCGGUUGUUAACACUGAGGCGUGACGACGAGCCACUACGGUGGUGAAGUGAUUGAUGCUCUGCUUCCGGGAA
rnacentral:rRNA from 1 species